AAUUAAAACUAAAAUUAGGUCCAACCCUUUGAUUUUUACCGCCUCCCUGAAUGGAUUAAAGACUGACGACAGAUUAACAGAAAUUAGAAGCGCUAAAAACUUUAUGUCGGUGCAUAUUGAUCUCAUUAUAGAAGGAGCGUGCCAAUUAAAAACAUGAUAAUUGUUUGUUGGGAAAUUGUCAAUAUAAAAGUUGCCCUGAUAAAUAUAAGAUUUAUUCUUAAAAACACAUUUGCGUUGUACGUUAUAUGAACAUUGGAUUAUUUUUUAUAGUGCAUAUUAAUCAUUUCUUAGAAUUCCAUAUUGUUGGAUUAUAGACUGCAUGUGAACGGUGUAUGUGACAAUUUUAAUUAUUUGUGUUGUUGAUUGUGACUUUUUUAAUUGAUUAGUGUCGUUAAUUGAAUGGGGAGUUGUCAUCAACGGGACGUUUAAGAGAAUUCGGCAACUUAUACAAGCCCCAAGAGUAGAAACGUAAGAUGUCCAAAAAAAAGACAAUGAAAUAUGUGCAUGAAAAAAACAAUGAAAGUGUGAAAGUGAAAGUGAAUAUAUACAUGUAUGACAUAAUAUUGACAAAAAAGACAUACUAUAUGAUAUUUUAUCUUUGCAUAUAAAACAUGUUUUUAUACAUUAAAUGUUAUUGCUAUU